UGAAUACGAGACGCUAAGGCGUCGAAGUAGUGUAUGUCAUACUUCCAAGAAAAGCUUGCACUGUCAUAGAUAAAAAACGCCUGUACCAUAACCGACACAGGUGGGUAGGUAGAGUAUACUAAGGGGCGCGAGAUAACUCUCUCUAAGGAACUCGGCAAAAUAACUCCGUAACUUCGGGAGAAGGAGUGCCUUAUUCGUAAGGUUGCAAUAACAAGAUCCAAGCAACUGUUUAUCAAAAACACAGGUCUCCGCUAAGUCGUAAGACGAUGUAUGGGGGCUGACGCCUGCCCAGUGCCAGAAGGUUAAAGAAGUUGGUUAGCAAUUGCGAAGCUGAUAACUGAAGCCCUGGUGAACGGCGGCCGUAACAAUAACGGUCCUAAGGUAGCGAAAUUCCUUGUCGGGUAAGUUCCGACCCGCACGAAAGGCGUAAUGAUUUGGAUACUGUCUCGGAGAGGGGCUCGGUGAAAUAGACUUGUCUGUGAAGAUGCGGACCACCUGCACCAGGACAGAAAGACCCUAUGAAGCUUUACUGUAACUUGAAAUUGAAAUUGGACUUUAUUCGCGCAGUAUAGGUGGGAGGCGUUGAUUAUAAUCUUGUGGGAUUAUUGGAGCCAUCAGUGAGAUACCACUCUUGUAAUGUUAGAUUUCUAACUUUGAAUCAUUAUCUGGUCAAAGAACAGUUUCAGGCGGGCAGUUUGACUGGGGCGGUCGCCUCCUAAACGGUAACGGAGGCGUACAAAGGUUUCCUCUGAACGGUUAGAAAUCGUAUCUAGAGUGUAAAGGCAUAAGGAAGCUUGACUGUGAGACCUACAAGUCGAGCAGGGACGAAAGUCGGUCUUAGUGAUCUGACGGUACUGAGUGGAAAGGCCGUCACUCAACGGAUAAAAGUUACUCUAGGAUAACAGGCUGAUCUCCCCCAAGAGUUCACAUCGACGGGGAGGUUUGGCACCCCGAUGUCGGCUCAUCGCAUCCUGGGGCGGUAGUACGUCCCAAGGGUUGGGCUGUUCGCCCAUGAAAGCGGUACGCGAGCUGGGUUCAGAACGUCGUGAGACAGUUCGGUCCAUAUCCGGUGUAGGCGUUAGAAUAUUGAGAGGAGCCUUCUUUAGUACGAGAGGACCGAGAAGGACAUACCUCUGGUGUACCAGUUAUCGUGCCAACGGUAAACGCUGGGUAGCUAUGUAUGGAGUGGAUAACCGCUGAAAGCAUCUAAGUGGGAAGCCCACCUCAAGAUAAGUAUUCUCAUCA
rnacentral:rRNA from 1 species